GAACAUUCUCCUUUGCCUGAGGAAGAUGCUGAUCACCUGCGGCCUCACCUCACUGUGCUAGAAGACUGGAAAGGUGGAAUGACUGGUUCCUCAUUAUAGACACAGGCAUUGUGAUAGACUGAAAAUCUCUAUCCAUAGGACAACCAAACUAAGGAUGCUGGGAUGAAAAAGGGCAGAGUCAGAGGAGCCAUCAGCAGAUGUAGAGCAAGCAGGACAUGCCAAAAAUGAGGAUGGACUCGAUCAAAGGUUGCAAGAGUCGUCCUGAGAUUUGAUUCAAUUUGCAAUCGACUGAGCAGGAAGUGCUCUGGGGAGUGUGCUCGGCUGAGAUGAUAUCCUCACCAGGGGCCAUACCUGUAGCAGCCGGAACAUUUCUUCUAAGAUGUUCCUUUAUUCCUGUCACGCCUCCCCUCACACUCAGAAAUCCACAGAAAGACACAAAGAGAAUUCCUUCUUGCGUCUCAUUCCCAAGAGGAAGGCUUUGCAUCGUUAAAAUAACCAUCCUAAAACCAAGAAAGUUAGAAUGUAAAGGAAGAAAAUGUAAAAG
rnacentral:lncRNA from 1 species